rnacentral:ncRNA from 3 species
CAAACGACUCUCGGCAACGGAUAUCUC